rnacentral:rRNA from 1 species
AACGAACGCUGGCGGCGCGCUUAACACAUGCAAGUCGAACGGAAAGGCCUGCUUUCCCUUGUGGAUUGCGGGUACUCGAGUGGCGAACGGGUGAGUAACACGUGAGUGAUCUGCCCCCAACUUGGGUAUAAGCCUGGGAAACUGGGUCUAAUUCCCGAUAGGACUGCAGGGUGGUGCCUGUGGUGGAAAACGAUUUUCUAGUGGUUGGGGAUGAGCUCGCGGCCUAUCAGCUUGUUGGUGGGGUAAUGGCCUACCAAGGCGGCGACGGGUAGCCGGCCUGAGAGGGUGGACGGCCACAUUGGGACUGAGAUACGGCCCAGACUCCUACGGGAGGCAGCAGUGGGGAAUAUUGCACAAUGGGCGGAAGCCUGAUGCAGCGACGCCGCGUGGGGGAUGACGGCCUUCGGGUUGUAAACUCCUUUCGACCGCGAGGAAGCCACCUGGUUGGAAGGGUGGUGACGGUAGUGGUAGAAGAAGCACCGGCUAACUACGUG